AGACCAAGUGAUCUCAGCUUCUUCUCACACCCUUUGUCUUCCAGACCCUCCCCCAUCUUUGUAGGCUCCACCAGCUGCUCUCUGACAAUUUUAUGUCCUACACUGAGGCACCCAACCUAAACUCGGUGCUGGAAGUGGGGCCACACCAGGCUGAGCAGCCACCAGCAGCGCUGGGCCUGCUGUGCCCUAGGGUCCGGUUGGCCCUUUAGACUCCAGGGCACGGUGCUGCCUCAGAUUCAACUUGCAGGCAGACAGAAACCCCAGCUCCUUUACCUGGGGCUGUGCUCCGGCCUCCCGUCCCCCAGACUGUACCCAGAGCCAGAGCUGCCCCAUCCCAGGUGCAGAACCAGCGCCUGCUUUUCUUCAUGCACAUGGAAACAACCCUCGAGUUUGUCAGAUCCAGGCAUGAGGCCUCUCUAUCCUCAGGAGAGUCAACACUACUCCCAGUGUAGCAUCAUCCACAAAUGUAACAUAACGUACAGAUCUUUAUUGGAGUCAUCGAUGAAAACAUUCAAGAGAACUGAUUUGAAAACAGGACCCUGCAAAAUCCCACUGAGUGGCAGCUAGGGCAACUCUCAGCCCAAAGCCUCCCAUUGCCCGGCACAGACAUGUUUUGGUCAUGGUGGGACAUUCUUAUGGUCCCCGUGCCAUGCCAUACUGAUGUCACGAGGCACCUCCCUGACAACCAGCUGUGUUUACAGUGCCCGUUAACAGACCCUCAGUCUGUGAGCGACCUGCAUCUUGUGGCCUCCUGACCCAAGAAGCGAUUUAUCCAGUGCUCCUUUUCUCUCCUUCCCUCCCACCUUUCUGGAGGAGGAUGGCGGCUCCUCCUCCUCUAAAGAAGCUUAAGCUUCAGAGGAGCAGCAGCCAGAUUGAACCGAUGGAAAUUGAUCCACCUGAAGACGGCAUUUCGCCGAUGGAGGUGGAUCCCCCUCCGGAGGAACCGAUGGAGGUGGAUCCCCCUCCAUCAGGCCGGGGCCAGCGCUGUAACAUCACGCUUCCCCGGAGAAGUCGCUUUGUGCGAUGGAGGCGCACCAGGGGCUCUCGAUUUCCAUUUUGGCGUUGAAAUGUCACCAUCCGCCAGAGAGCCCCUGGGACGGCUGCUGCUCCACACCCCCUUCUUUCCCGAUUUCCCAUCUUUCCCCAGCACCUCUCCCUUCUUCUUUCCCAAACUCUGAGGAAAAGGAGAGGACUUGGACUGGUGUCCACUGGGUUGUGCUGGGGCAACAGAAGGAGCCUGGCAGACUGCCCCGAGUUCCCUGCAGCCUCCAGGUGAGCCCUGAAGAAAGCAGGACUGGGACCAGUGUCCAUUGAGCUGCUGUGGCUGGGAUAAAGGAAGGAGUCCAGGCCUCAAGAUCCUUGCAUCCUCCAGAAGCAUCCUGAGGAAGAGGACAGGACUGAGAAUGGUGUUCACUGAACUGCUGUGCUGGGGCAAGAGAAGUCCAGCGGAUGGCCCUGAGCUCCCUGCUGCCUCCAGGUGAUGCCUAAAGAAGAGGGCAGGACUAGGACUGGUGUCCACUGAACUGCUGUGUGGACAGCCCCGAGCUCCCUGCAGCCUCCAGGCAGUGUCAUGAGAAGCUACAGGGCAAGCUGUGCCUUUGGAGAAGCAGAAGACUUUGGUUUGGAUGGGAAGAAGGGCUCGAGUUCAGCAUGAAGGUCCAUUCCAGUUGCUCCGUUUGGACUCUUUUCAAAGUCAGGACAAUAAACAGUU